CACCAUGUUUUUUCAGUUGUCCUUGAGUCUGACAAUAGGGUAUAUGAUCCUCCAAAAGUCUUUCUUAGUGAAUCCAUGAAGACAAUAAGGGCAGUAGAAUGUGUUCCCAUUAUGUUUUGUCCGUUGUCCUAGUAGUCGAUGCAUGUCUUUGAUUCAACAGUAAUGUUGUUUCUUACCAUCCGACAACAACAAAAGAUCCACAUGCCUCUCAUGUUGUUGUUUUGUGAUGUGAAUAGGAUAUACUUCUCCCUUUUCAUACCCAA